AAUGAACGUUGGCGGCGUAGAUUAGGCAUGCAAGUCGAGCGAGAAGAGUUUGGUAGCUUGCUAUUGAACUCGGAAAGCGGCGAAAGGGAGAGUAACGCGUAGUUACGUGCCCCAGGGUUCGGAAUAGCCACGGGAAACUGUGGGUAAUGCCGAAUAACAUCUCCGGAUCAAAGGUGUGAUUCCGCCCUGGGAGCGGACUGCGUCCUACUAGCUAGUUGGCGGGGUAAUGGCCCACCAAGGCAACAAUGGGUAGCGGGUGUGAGAGCAUGACCCGUCUCACUGGGACUGAGACACUGCCCAGACACCUACGGGUGGCUGCAGUCGAGAAUCUUCGGCAAUGGGCGAAAGCCUGACCGAGCGACGCCGCGUGCGGGAUGAAGGCCCUCGGGUUGUAAACCGCUGUCGUAGGGGAGGAAGGCUCCAUGAAGAAUGGGGUUUGACCUAUCCUAGGAGGAAGUACGGGCUAAGUUCGUGCCAGCAGCCGCCGCCG
rnacentral:rRNA from 1 species